rnacentral:rRNA from 1 species
GGCACAAGCGGCGGAGCAUGCGGAUUAAUUCGAUGCAACGCGAAGAACCUUACCAAGGCUUGACAUACACCGGUAACGCCCAGAGAUGGGUGCCCCUUUGUGGUCGGUGGACAGGUGGUGCAUGGUCGUCGUCAGCUCGUGUCGUGAGAUGUUGGGUUAAGUCCCGCAACGAGCGCAACCCUCGUCCUAUGUUGCCAGCGGGUCAUGCCGGGGACUCAUGGGAGACUGCCGGGGUCAACUCGGAGGAAGUGGGGAUGACGUCAAAUCAUCAUGCCCCUUAUGUCUUAGGCUUCACGCAUGCUACAAUGGCCGGUACAGAGGGCUGCGAUACCGCGAGGUGGAGCGAAUCCCAGAAAGCCGGUCUCAGUUCGGAUUGGGGUCUGCAACUCGACCCCAUGAAGUCGGGGUCGCUAGUAAUCGCAGAUCAGCAACGCUGCGGUGAAUACGUUCCCGGGCCUU